UUUGUGAGCCAUAGAUAUACAGCAAAGACCUCCAGCCCUCUUCCUAACAUGUGCCCCUGUGAUAGUUAAUUUACUUAUUAACCAGACAUCAACUGAGCACCUACUACCUGCAGGUCCCUGAGCCAAUGGAGAGGAUCCAGCAGUGAGCAGGAUUCUUCAUCCUCUCCCCGUUAUGUGGAGCCCUCCUCUCCAGGGAAGAAUUCUGAAGAGGAGGCCAGAAAUGAAUGGCCUGGUGAGGGGUCUAUCCACAAAGCAACAUAUCCAUGAUGGAGUGCAGAUGGCUGCAUCUUUUGACUUCUCAGACCUCCUUGAAUGAAUGGGCUUCAGAUAACAUUUGACUUCAAACCCACACAUCUGUUUGAUAUUUGGACAUGGCUGGUGAGCCCAGACCAGGCCCCACCCGGCCUGGCCAGAAGAGGCAGCAGGGCACAGCUAUCUUUUGUAACUAUGACCUGAACUACAAAUUGCACAGAGAAGAUGUCCCUUACAGGGUGUAUGAAUAUCAGAGGAUUCCUCCACUUAUCAACCAGGUGCCUGCCAAGAUCCGCAGGACCCAUGUGGGCCUGGGAAUCAAGAGCAGCUGCAACCCACACAAGGCCUCCAGGAAUAGCCAUCUGGCCCCCAGGCAGAUGAAACGUGAGUGA
rnacentral:lncRNA from 1 species